rnacentral:rRNA from 1 species
AUUGAACGCUGGCGGAAUGCUUUACACAUGCAAGUCGGGCGGCAGCGCGGGGGCAACCCUGGCGGCGAGCGGCGAACGGGUGAGUAAUACAUCGGAACGUGUCCUUGAGUGGGGGAUAGCUCGGCGAAAGCCGGAUUAAUACCGCAUAAGCUCUGAGGAGGAAAGGCGGGGACUGGUAACGGCCUCGCGCUGUUGGAGCGGCCGAUGUCGGAUUAGCUAGUUGGUGGGGUAAAGGCCCACCAAGGCGACGAUCCGUAGCUGGUCUGAGAGGAUGAUCAGCCACACUGGAACUGAGACACGGUCCAGACUCCUACGGGAGCAGC